UGCGGGGUAGUGUAGUGGUCUAACACAUCGGGUUCAUAUCCUGAAGAUCGUGGGUUCAAAUCCCACCCCCGCUA
rnacentral:tRNA from 1 species